CAAGAAAUGGAAAUAUAAAAACUCAAUACAAUUGAAUGAGCGUUUCAAAUUGAGCUACUUCACAGGAAACAAGAACAUUAUUGAAUGCUGUAUAACUCUUUUGUGUUUAUUUCAAAACCUUACAUUCAAUAUAUGCAGUUAGAAAAGAAAAAAGAAAAAGACAAAAAGAGAGCCACAAAAUAAGCUUAUAUGUUUAUUACUCAUGCACAACAAACAAACUAAAAGUAUAGAGGUACGUAGAACCUUGCAAAAUGAUAACGAAAGAGAUUGGUGUGACCAAAAUUACCAAUUUAAGACAUCUUCCAUUUCCCAAAAAGUUAAUAACAAAAUCAAUAAAAUAAUUAAUAACAUUUGAAAACAAAGUAACAAUAACCAUAUAAUUAUUAGCAUUCUCUUAGAGUCUUAGAUUGUGGCUUGGGCAAUUCAGAAACACCUAUUCGUAUUUUUGAUGAGGUUGAUUCUUGGUUUUGAUCAGAUUUUUACAAGCUGUUAUUGAUUUAGAAUGGAGAGGAAUUGAUAAUAAACAACUAAACAAGAUGCUAAAGUUCUUGGAGUUGCAUUUUUUUCCUCUGUUUUAUGGAGCAUUUGAAAAUUUGGAUGGAGAGGAAUGCAUGCAUUUUCAAAGAUCAAUCUCCAUACUUUAAUCUGUUUUGGGAUAAGGUGGUUUCUUGGCUUCUUUGCGAACUCCUUCAAGGACUUUAAAAGAAGUGUCUUUAAACAUUAUUAUGAAUGCCAAUGGAAAGCAUAACGAACACGAAUAUUAUCACUUUAAUUCGUUGUAUUUCAUGUCUAGCAUACUUACUACAGAUAAACUAUUAAAAAUUCAAGAUAGGAAAUUCCUUUAAUUAAACUAAGUUUUAUGUCAAGACAGAGUUUCAUAGGAAUGACAAAAGCAGGGCAAAAGCACCAAUUAUAUACUCAGAUUCUAUAUGAACCUAACUUACAAUCAAAACUAAUGAACAUGUGCCAAGAGUUGCUUGCCAAAGUUCAUAUGUGAUCAAGUGACUAUAAAUUUGUGAGUGAAUCUUGCAUAAAUAAGAAAACUUAAUUCCCUUAUCAUUUCUAAUCCAACUAUUUGAGUUUUACCAUUAACAAAAUCUCCUUAAAAUUGACAUUAUAAUUAAUGAGUGGUUACUUUCUUAAGUAGAAACAGAAGGA
rnacentral:misc_RNA from 1 species